AAUAACAACAACUGUGCGAUCAUGUCCUGGAACGUCCGGGGACUAAACUUGGCGGCGAAGAGAGAAGCAGUUACAGAAGUGGGAGCUGCACACAGACUAGCCAUCCUCUGUGUUCAGGAAACAAAAAUUGAGACAUGGACCCAAGCCAUGGUGACCGACAUCAGAGGAAGUUGGAUGAAUGAUUGCGUAGUUCUUCUGGCGAUAGGAUCUAGAGGAGGCGUUGCGAUCUUCUGGAACAGAGAGCUUGUCUCCGUCUGUUCCCAAGCAAUAGGUCAAUUCUCGAUCACGACCACCAUCACCGUAGUUAGCUCCUCCACUAGCUUUGUCCUUACAACGGUCUACGCCCCCGACGAUACGAACAAGGAGGCUUUCUUCGCUGAAUUAGCUAGCGCUGCACCCCCUUUAGGCACUCCAUGGCUCCUAAAUGGAGACAUCAACGUAAUCUAUGAGGCUAGGGAUAAAAACAAUCUUAACCUCAAUAGGAGGAGGAUGAGUAGAUUUAGGGUGGUGAUCGACACGGCAGUGUUAAAAGAAAUUAAAUGUAAAAAUAGAAGAUUCACCUGGAGCAACGAGAGAGAGAGAGAGAGUCACCCACUUUAG
rnacentral:rRNA from 1 species